rnacentral:rRNA from 1 species
UAAUACGUAGGGGGCGAGCGUUGUCCGGAUUUACUGGGCGUAAAGCGCGUGUAGGCGGUACGAGCAGUCUGCCGUGAAAGCUCUCGGCUUAACCGGGAGAGGUCGGUGGAAACUCUCGCACUAGAGGACGGUAGAGGGGGGUGGAAUUCCCGGUGUAGUGGUGAAAUGCGUAGAUAUCGGGAGGAACACCAGUGGCGAAGGCGGCCCCCUGGGCCGCUCCUGACGCUGAGACGCGAAGGCCAGGGUAGCGAACGGGAUUAGAUACCCCGGUAGUCCUGGCAGUAAACGAUGAGCACUAGGUGUGGGGGGUAUCGAGCCCCUCCGCGCCGACGUCAACACAUUAAGUGCUCCGCCUGGGGAGUACGGCCGCAAGGUUA